rnacentral:misc_RNA from 1 species
CGAAAUGCGAUAAGUAAUGUGAAUUGCAGAAUUCCGUGAAUCAUCGAAUCUUUGAACGCACAUUGCGCCCUUUGGUAUUCCGAAGGGCAUGCCUGUUCGAGCGUCAUUUCAACCCUCAAGCACCGCUUGGUAUUGGGCGCGGGCCUCCAGCAGGGACGGCCGGCCUGAAAUUCAGCGGCGAGGUCGCCCAGCUUCAGGCGUGGUAGAACAUCCGUCUCGCCUCGCAAGCCUGGGCGGCGUCCGCCGGACAACCCAACCUACUCUUUCAAGGUUGACCUCGGAUCAGGUAGGGAUACCCGCUGAACUUAAGC